rnacentral:rRNA from 1 species
UGGGGAAUAUUGCACAAUGGGCGCAAGCCUGAUGCAGCCAUGCCGCGUGUGUGAAGAAGGCCUUCGGGUUGUAAAGCACUUUCAGCGGGGAGGAAGGCGUUAAGGUUAAUAACCUUAGCGAUUGACGUUACCCGCAGAAGAAGCACCGGCUAACUCCGUGCCAGCAGCCGCGGUAAUACGGAGGGUGCAAGCGUUAAUCGGAAUUACUGGGCGUAAA